rnacentral:rRNA from 1 species
GACAGAGGUGCCGAGCGUUAGGCGGAAUCACUGGGCUUAAAGCGUGUGUAGGCGGGCCGUUAAGUACCUUGUGAAAUCCCACAGCUUAACUGUGGAACUGCUUGGUAUACUGCCAGUCUUGAGCCAGCUAGGGGCUACCGGAACAAAAUGGUGGAGCGGUGAAAUGCGUAGAUAUCAUUUGGAACGCCAAUGGUGAAAACAGGUAGCUGGGGCUGUGCUGACGCUGAGACACGAAAGCCAGGGGAGCAAACGGG